UACGGGGGGGGCAAGCGUUGUUCGGAAUUACUGGGCGUAAAGGGCUCGUAGGCGGCCAACUAAGUCGGAUGUGAAAUCCCCAGGCUUAACCUGGGAAUUGCAUCCGAUACUGGAUGGCUUGAAUCCGGGAGAGGGAUGCGGAAUUCCAGGUGUAGCGGUGAAAUGCGUAGAUAUCGAGAGGAACACCUGCGGCGAAGGCGGGUUGCUGGGCUGACACUGACGCUGAUGCGCGAAAGCUAGGGGAGCGAACGGG
rnacentral:rRNA from 1 species